GCGCCAGUAGCUCAACAGGAUAGAGCAACGGCCUUCUAAGCCGUAGGUUCGGGGUUCGAGUCCCUGCUGGCGUACAA
rnacentral:tRNA from 1 species